GGAGGGAUCGCAUAGUGGUCUAGUGCGGCGGUCUUGAAAACCGCUAUAGCCGCAAGGUUAUCGUGGGUUCGAAUCCCACUCCCUCCGCCA
rnacentral:tRNA from 2 species